rnacentral:rRNA from 1 species
UACGAAGGGGGCUAGCGUUGCUCGGAAUCACUGGGCGUAAAGCGCACGUAGGCGGAUUCCUAAGUCGGGGGUGAAAUCCUGGAGCUCAACUCCAGAACUGCCUUCGAUACUGGGAAUCUUGAGUCCGGAAGAGGUGAGUGGAACUGCGAGUGUAGAGGUGAAAUUCGUAGAUAUUCGCAAGAACACCAGUGGCGAAGGCGGCUCACUGGUCCGGUACUGACGCUGAGGUGCGGAAAGCGUGGGGAGCAAAGCAGGG